AUCAAAUUUUUCCCAGACUCUUUGUAUCCUUUUUUUUCAAUUUGGUCUAUCCUCAUUGUCCAAUAAACAAUGUUCAUUCCCACUAGCACCCCAAUCCGUCUUCUGUCUUCCUUUAGUGCCAUUUUGGAUUUAAAUUUUGAGCAUUUAUUAAUUCUGUUACUAAUUAACCUUCCACCUUCCACCUUUCACUCCACCAAUCAAAUUUCUUCUCUAGAUGUUUCCCCAAUUAUCUCUUCCACUCAUAUCAUAAAUCUUCCUCAUCUCCCUCCAUAUCUGGAUUCUUCAUCCUCUACCCCUCCAUUCGACGCUUAACCCAUGAAACGCUCCUCAUCAUUAUCCUCAUCACAGUUUUACUUCCCAUAACCUAUCUUUCAUUCACAUGGCUUCUUCUCCCCAGUCAUUUUUAUUCAUCUCCACAGUCAUCAUUCUCACCACUGCUCUCUCUCUCUCUCUCUUUAUUUCUCCCUCUCGCUCUCUCUGGCGCUGACUCCCUCACUCUCCUUCGUUCCGUCUCUGUUUCGUUCCUUCAGAUCUCUUCUCCGAUUCCGGCCAGUUUUCAUGGCCUUUCUCUUGGCUGGGGAGAUUUCAGAGUUCUCUGCGGAUUCAGAUUUCAGAACCCCUCCUCCUCCAACAGAACCUGCCGGUUUUGACGUUUAAUUCUCCUCCCUAUUUUCAUUAUGAUUUAGAGUUUUCAAUUUCCUAAUUUUUUAGGUUUCUUUCCUAAUUUUCAUUGGAUCUUCAAAAAUUAAUUGAAUUGUUGACAGAUUAAAAAAACCGAUAUGUAAUUUUUAGUUUUUUCUAUAUCAACAGAACAGAGAUGAUUGAUGUCUACUGAGAGCUUUGGACUUAUUGGUUUUUUUGCAGUUGUUUUGUGUGGUGAUAUUAGCUAUGUAUGGACAAUGAGGGUUUGAGCUGGAUUCAAGUAUAUAAAGAGGAUCAUGUCCUCGCGCAGCAUCUUGCUGUUGCUUCACCAACCCUGCCAAGUUGAAUCAAAAGCAUGAUUUAGUGUUUUGUAAUCUAAGUUGGAUUAAUGAUUUUUUUUGUACUUUUUUUAGGCUGUUGCUUCACCAACCUGUUUUAAUUUUUCACCUUUUGUGAUUCUUUUAUGUUCUUUUGUUGUGUAAUGUUCCAUUUUGUCUCAACUUUGCUUUCACUUGACCAUAUAUUUUUUAUAGCAAUUUUGUUGGAUGAAUUGGUGAUAGUGGACUGGUGCAAAAGGACAUUCAAAAGAAUCUCUGUUUCCUAAAUCAGAUAACUUUUUCCUUUAGCUUUGCAGUAAAUGUUUCUUCUUCCUUUAUCUGCUUCCUUCAUGUUACUCCAUAUAUGUUUUUUUUUACAGAAAAAAGGCAUGGGGAAGAAGUUGAUUGAAUAGGUAAGACAAGUAAAGAAAUUGAGAGGAAAAGAAGAGGGUCCCUGUCACAGGCUAACGAUCUUUGUACGUAUAUGUCAAAGUUAAACCUUACAAGGCUGUCACAUAACCAGACUCUUAGUUGCUGAAGAAAAUGUUAUGCAUACAAAGUGUGUUCAAGAGAAUAACACAAUAGUAGCAUAAGUGGUUUUUUUUUAUUGAGAAUGAGAGAAGCAAGGGCCAAGUUUAUAGCAGAGAGUCUCAUCAUUUGAGGGUCUCAUAAUAUCAUUUCAUUGAAUAUUUCCUACAGGGUGUUGAAGAAUAUAUCAAAAUUUUUGCAAAAGAAGUGCAAGGGUUCAUCACACAAAUCUAAGGAACUCAACUAAGGAAGAUUCAAAGUGUCUCAAAGAUGUAAGGAAAAAAGAGGACCAAAUCAUAGCAACUUGGAUCUCACAGUACUAUCAACUGAGAAAUUGGUUUAUCAACAUAUAAAAAGAGGUCCACUGUGGUUUAUUUUUUGUACUGUGUAUUUGAUUCUAUUUGAUCUUUUUUCCCUGUUGAAUUAUUUUCUUUCUGUAUUUUUCUUACUUGAAAACCUUUUGCAUUAUGUUAUGCAGUUCAAGAAGUUAUGGUAAAUGAGAAUGUUCCAAUUAAAAUUCUGAUGUGCACAGUUGAGUUAAUUCUAAUUUCUUUUACUUCUUUUUUGUUGAAUGUUUGUGUAGAGCUAUAAGGGGCCAGUUGAAGGUUACAUCUUGAAUGUUUCUAUCUCUUCCUUUUCUCUGUUGUUGAAUGUAUGCAUUAACAGUAAAUGGUUUUAACUUUGUUUCUAUCUCUUCCUUUAAUUUUUCUUUCUUUAUUAUGCUAUGUAUUCCUAUUUUAUUAACUUAACAUUAUCAAACCUGUUUUAUUUACCCAGAUUUUUUUUGUUUUGCUUAUAAAUUGUUUGUUUUAUAUAGCAUUGAUUGUGUGUUCACCAACGGUUGUGAUUAAAAGCAUGUUCGUUUCCCCAUUAACUCUACAGUUUUCCGAACCACAUUUAUUCUUAAACGUUUUCCCCUUCCCAUUAACUACACUUUUUUCACUUCCCCAUACCUUUUGUUUAAUUCCUUUAUGCUUUGUAUAUAGAGUGUUUUUCACUUCCCCUAUUUUGAGGUUUAAUAUGGCUUGCAAAGAUGGAUUUUUCCUAAUUUAUGUCCAUGCUGCUUUUCAUUGUUUUUUUAGGUUUGCUGCAAUGAUGAAUGCUUAAACAUAUAAGCAGUUAUGUGGCUUGAUGAACCAGAGAAUGACUUCAAGACUAUGGUCUUUCAUGACAAAUGUUGGAAAGACUUGAAGUAUUUGAAAUUAAUAUUUGGUUUAGAGUAGUUAUUAGAUGGUAGGAGGUAGAUCACCCAUUGUUAUAAGAACCAAUGUAAUCAUUUUCCGAUGUGUAAAAAAAUACCAAUGUAAUCAGUGUUGUCUAUACAUGAAUCUCUUUUAAUGAAA